CCAACACACGCACAAAUCAUUUUACCGGUGCGCCUUUUACUUGGUUAUCGAAAAAAUGAACGUGGAGUAUGGAGCUGAAAAGUCUGAAGCUGCCGUUGUUGGCACCACAAUUGGCAUUAGAGAGCGUAUUGCAUCUUUUACUGAUCCUAUGCAAACACAGUUUGGGAAUUGCCCAUGAAACGACUUGGCGAUCCGCCUGAGAGUACGAUCCUAACACCGAAAUGCAAGAGGUCUCUGGUUAGGAAACAUUACCGAAAGACACCAGCACGUUAAAGCUCAACUCUAGCAGAUGAAAAUAGUGCAGAUGAAUACAUUUGUGUU